rnacentral:rRNA from 1 species
UACGGGGGGGGCAAGCGUUGUUCGGAAUUACUGGGCGUAAAGGGCUCGUAGGUGGCCAACUAAGUCAGACGUGAAAUCCCUCGGCUUAACCGGGGAACUGCGUCUGAUACUGGAUGGCUUGAGUUUGGGAGAGGGACGCAGAAUUCCAGGUGUAGCGGUGAAAUGCGUAGAUAUCUGGAGGAAUACCGGUGGCGAAGGCGGCAUCCUGGACCGACAUUGACGCUGAACGGCGAAAGCUAGGGGAGCAAACGGG